rnacentral:Y_RNA from 1 species
GGCUGGGCCAAAGGUAGUGAGUUAUGUCAACUGAUUGUUCACUGUCAGUGACAGAUCCAACUCCUUGUUUUGCUCUUUCCCCCCUUCCCAUUAUUGCACUUGACUUGCCUUUA